CACAGGAAGACGCAGCAUGUCCUUCCCCACGCACACAGGAAGUUCAUGCCCGUGUCCCUCAAUUCCCUUGGAUUUAACCAUAGAAGUGUGUGCCAAGUGUGAGGUCAUUGGCAAUUACAGGCUACAAAGUGAGUGAAACCCACCCGGUCGAAGCUCAACAUCUACGUCUACAGCUGCCUCGCUACUCACCACGGAUUUGACAGGAUAACAUGGCUGGAAGGCAUAAUUUACCUUUUAUGCCUCGCUUUUCCUUCACUGGAGAACAAAGACGAAAAAUUAAGCCCUGCACAAGAGGAAAUACAGAUUUCAAUCCCAGUAAAGAUAUUUAUGCCCAGUUAUAUAUUUCAUACAUCACUCACAAAGU
ensembl:lncRNA